AUUCUUUUGUAGUUCACAAUUGUCAUGAUUGGGUGUUCACACUCUGUGUGACAUGUGCCUCCCUCAAGUCUUGGUACAAUGUUGGCACAUUACCUGUCUAAUG
ensembl:snoRNA